GACGAACGCUGGCGGCGUGCUUAAUACAUGCAAGUCGAACGGAAAGGCCCUGCUUUUGUGGGGUGCUCGAGUGCCGCACGGGUGAGUAUAACGCGUGUAACCUGCCCUUGAGUUUGGGAUACCUUCAGGAAACUGGGGCUCUUAUAGGAUAGGAGCUCUUGAUGCAUGGUGGGGGAUGGAAAGUUUCGGCGGUUGGGGAUGGACUCGCGGUUGAUCAGCUUGUUGGUGGGGUAGUGGCUUACCAAGGCUCUGACGGGUAGCCGGCUUGAGAGGGUGACCGGCCACAAUGGGACUGAGAUAGGGCCCAGAGUCCUACGGGAGGCAGCAGUGAGAAAUAUUGCGCGAUGGGCGGAAGCCGGAUACAGCGACGCCGCGUGCGGGAUGACGGCCUUCGGGUUAUAAACCGCUUGCGCCUGGGACGAAGCGUGAGUGACGGUAAUGAGUAAAGAAGCACCGGCUAACUACGUG
rnacentral:rRNA from 1 species